ensembl:lncRNA
CACACACACACACACACACACGCACACACAAAUGACUGAAUAAUAUAGCCUACUGUUAUAUUAUCUGUGCAGAAUAGCUUGAUGCUCAAAUAUUAUUUUGUUGCAUUGUAAAAAGUUUAGGUGUAUAGGACGGAACUGUCCACGAUCGCUCCUUAGGCCUUUUUUACUACGCGAUCAAUGCGACCUAGGUCGCGACGCACGUCGUUGGCCACUCAGAGAGCUCGGUCUUCCUCAGUUUAGACGCUGCUCAGCGUAGUACUGCCCUCCACAGAUCAGAUGUUGAACUCGAUUUUUACAUACAUUCCUGUAUUGUGCAGGAACUACAGAAUUGCCUAGAAGAUCAAUUGGUGGUUCUCACUGUGUCCCAAACCUAAUAUAUAAUAUACAUGUAUAUAAUUUAUCUAUAUAAUAUAUAGUAUUAUGUCUUUCUGCCCAUCUACUUCUCUACUCAAACUCUGUUUUGCAAUCUGAUCCAUUCCCCCCGACCCCAGUGUGUCCAGGAACGCAACAAAAGUUGAUUGAUGACGCUCUCCCAUUGACUCCCAGCAAAAGUAGCCUACAUGCUUACACCAUGUAACGGAACUUAAGUAAAAGAAAGCCGCGUUUCUAGGCAGCUUGGUAACAGUGAUUUGCGGUAGUCAUUUACUCCCUUCAGUGGCGAAGCUAGAUCUCUUUUGGGUGGGCUCAAGCCAACCCGAAACUUGCCUUGGCCCACCCUAUAAUUUCGUCCUCAAAUCUAAUAUUCUACCUUCUUUUUUUACACAAGCAAUGAGAGAAUGGAUGCUGUACACUAAUGAACAGGCACAAAUGGGCUAGUGAAAUCGAGCACAACCUUCCUGCAGGAAUCUCUAACCUCUGAUUGUGGAGACACGUGGAGGGCGGACUACUUGGUCCAAGAGGAUUAUUGGAUGGCCAUGGCAGCCCUGACGGCUAAGAGAAGCAGGGACCCUAAAACUCAGGUCGAUUAUACCAUUCUUUUGAAUAGUAACCUCAUAUCGCACGUGAAUUUGAGUGCUGUCAUCAUGUUUGACUUACUCAAAGGCCAUCCUAAAUCUUCUAUUAAUCCUACUUCAAAUUAGAUAAUGACGGAGGAAA